rnacentral:rRNA from 1 species
CGCCGCUACUGGCGUGUCGCCCCCCCGGGGGGUGGUGGGUGCGGCGGGUGGUAGGGGAGCGUCCCGCGUGGGGGGAAGCUUCCGGGUGACCGGGGGUGGACCGCGUGGGAGUGAGAAUGCAGGCAUGAGUAGCGAUACCGGGGUGGGAAGCCCCGGCGCCGUAUGACCAAGGGUUCCAGGGCCAGGCUAGUCCGCCCUGGGUGAGUCGGGACCUAAGGCGAGGCCGACGGGCGUAGUCGAUGGAUGACGGGUUGAUAUUCCCGUACCGGACCGGAUACCGACCGUGCUGACGUGCGGGUGCUGACCCACGCCCCACGCCGCCCAUCGCGCCUCCCGGCCGGUUAUUCGUAACCGCGGGGGGCGGGCGGCGGGGGUCUGGGGACCCUCCGUGCAGGUAGGCAAGCGUAUUAACAGGGGUGACGCGCAGUGGUGGCCCCGCGGGUCUGAUGGCUCGGCCCGUUCAAGCGCGCAGCCCGCCGCCCAGGCAAAUCCGGGCGGCUGCCUUCAAUGGCGGGGGUGAGGCGUGACGGUGACCCGGCCCGGUGGGGUCGGGGAAGCAGGGUGAUCCUGUGGCGCCUAGAAAAGCCUCGACGCGAGGGGCCGGUCCGCCCGUACCCCAAACCGACACAGGUGGUCGGGCAGAGUAUGCCCAGGCGCACGAGCGAACCGUGGUGAAGGAACUCGGCAAAACGCCCCCGUAACUUCGGGAGAAGGGGGGCCCGAACCCUGAAACGGCCAGCCCGUUAGGGGUGAGGGUCGCAGAGACCAGGGGGGAGCGACUGUUUACUAAAAACACAGGUCCGUGCGAAGCCGUAAGGCGAUGUAUACGGACUGACGCCUGCCCGGUGCUGGAAGGUCAAGAGGACCCGUCAACCCCCCGUGGGUGAAGCGGUGAAUUCAAGCCCCAGUGAACGGCGGUGGUAACUAUAACCAUCCUAAGGUAGCGAAAUUCCUUGUCGGGUAAGUUCCGACCUGCACGAAUGGCGUAACGACUCCCCCGCUGUCUCCACCACGGGCUCGGCGAAAUUGCAUUACGAGUAAAGAUGCUCGUUGCGCGCAGAAGGACGGAAAGACCCCGGGACCUUCACUGCAGCUUGGUAUUGGCGCCCGGUUCGGCUCGUGCAGGAUAGGUGGGAGACUAUGAGGCCGCCGCGUCAGCGGCGGCGGAGUCGUCGUUGAGAUACCACUCCGGCCGUGUCGUGCGCCUGAACCCGGGCCCGUGAUCCGGGUCGGGGACAGUGCCUGGCGGGUAGUUCAACUGGGGCGGUUGCCUCCCAAAGAGUAACGGAGGCGCUCAAAGGUCCCCUCAGCCUGGUCGGCAACCAGGUGUCGAGUGCAAGUGCACAAGGGGGCUCGACUGCGAGACCGACAGGUCGAGCAGGUGCGAAAGCAGGAACUAGUGAUCCGGCGAUCCCGCGUGGGCGGGUCGUCGCUCAACGGAUAAAAGGUACCCCGGGGAUAACAGGCUGAUCCUGCCC